UCCGCUAUGGUGUAACGGUCAGCAUACUGCCUUUUCAAAAACGAUUGUUCUCUUCGAGCAAUCCAAUUGAUGAUAAACGGCGGAGACCGGGGUUCGAUUCCCCGUAGCGGAG